rnacentral:rRNA from 1 species
CCUACGGGAGGCAGCAGUGAGGAAUAUUGGUCAAUGGGCGGGAGCCUGAACCAGCCAAGUCGCGUGAAGGAAUAAGGUACUUAGUAUUGUAAACUUCUUUUAUAUGGGAACAAAUGCGGAGACGCGUCCCCCGAUGUGUGUACCCGACGAAUAAGCAUCGGCUAACUCCGUGCCAGCAGCCGCGGUAAUACUGAGGAUGCGACCGUUAUCCGGAUUUAUUGGGGGUAAAGGGUGCGCAGGGUGGAUGUUAAGGUCGGGGUGAAAGUGUGGGGCUCACCCGCCGCCUGGCAGUUGAAACUGGUAGUCUAGAGUAAGGGAGAGGUAAGCGGAAUUCGUGGUGUAGCGGUGAAAUGCAUAGAUAUCACGAAGAACUCUGAUUGCGAAGGCAGCUUACUGG